GAAGCAAGGCCAAAGUCACCACGCAGGGGUGGGGCGUGCUCCAUGAGCUCAGAAUGUCCAGGUGACAGUGUUCAUUCUCCCAUGGGCAGUGCCCUGGGGUUUCUCCCAGUCCCUCCUCCUGCGGCAAACUGUAGGGAGGUGCAUACAGUCUGUCGACGAUUGCCUCUCCAGUCUCUGCUUACAUGACUGGGAACACACACACUGCAUGGGACUUGAGAGGUUACCAGACAAGCGUUCCUUCAUGUCAGUCCUGGAAAGCCAGUGUGUUUCCUAGAACAUCCAUCAUCUCAGGAAAUCUUAGGCUCAGUGCUAGUCCUGUCCGAGUCCCUCAUCACAGCAAGAGAACCCAGGUGGAACAUGUGACCUCAGAGAUGAGUGGACCUUACGGGUUACCCAGCCAGACAGAGUCAAGAUGAGACUGAUCCUCCCCGACCCUCUCUGGGAGGCAGCGAGGUGUCACCAUGGACACCUGGGCACCGGCCUUCUGUGGUCAGGACAUGACACUCAGCCACUCUGCCCCUCCAUCUCUCCCAACUUAUGAAACAAGGGGGUCAGAGAAAGCCACAGAGACAGAGCUUCUAGCUGCUUUGAAAUUAGACGAUGGAUAUUUAUUUUUAAAUCACAGGGAUGUCCCUAAAGCAUAAUCAUUCUUCCCACUGAGAGAACCUAAGCAUCUCCACUGACCUGGCAGUGAAGGGAUGGUGAAGUGCAUAUCCUUGGAGACCCGUGUUCUGUCUGAUGGAGACGGAGAGAGCUUGGCAGGCUCCACCCUAGUGAUGCCUUUGUUUUAUCAGCAUCAGGAGCUUGAGAAUGACACAGGGUUCAACCUGACAAGGGCCAGCAUGGCAGCCCCAGCGACACAGAAGCCCAGGCAACGUCCUCUGCCUUUUGCACAACGGCUAAAAGGCAGAAACCCCUCCAGCGACCCUCAGCAGAUGAAGGGGCAAGCACAGUGUGAUCCAUCCAUGCAACAGAAUAUCGUUCAGCCUAUGGAGGGAGGAGGUCCUGACGCCUACUGCAGCAGAGAUGAGCCUCGGAAGCAUCGUUCUAGUGAAAUAAGAUAGAAAAGCGCAAAUAGUGUGUGAUUCCAUGUAUGUGAAAUAUCUAAAUGGGCAAGUUCACAGACAGAACACAGAUAAGUGGUCGCUGGGGCUGGAACAGAAAGGGGAGUUACUACUUCAUGAAAACAGAGUUUCUCUUUGGAGUAACAAAAGCAUUUUGGAAAUAUAUAUAUUUUCAAAUAUC